UCGUGCAAGACAAGGACUCCAAGGGCGCGCUGUACGUGCUGAUGCCGAUGCGGGUGUAAUUUUGCUGUUAUGACGUGAAUGCACUUUCCCCUCUCCCCUUGUGGGAGAGGGUGCACAAAAUUGAAGAUCGUCAUUGCCGGGCUUGACCCGGCAAUCCUUCAUCCUCGAAUGAGAUAUUGGGUUUACAUCCUUGCCAACAGGCCGGGCGGCACGCUGUAUGUGGGCGUCACCAACGAUCUGAUACGCCGCAUCUACG
rnacentral:misc_RNA from 1 species